AUGGUGAUGUCUUCCAAGUUUUAUUUUUGCUGGUUCUUGGCUCUCUUGUUUGACGAUCUUCCCAUUAGAUGCUGUUGGUUUCAUCAUGCAGCUCCUUCUCUGCUUGAUUCCCUGAGGUGUGUGUUAAUGCUCUUCUUGAUCCAGUUACAAGUUGCUUGUCUUCACCAACAAGACCCUUCAAAGCGCUUCAUGGUCAUAUACGAAAGUGGAAACCUUGAAAUAUUCUGCCUUUUGUCUCUGAAGCAAGGCAAUGUCAGUCCGGCCGGGGACAGGCUUAUAGGUGGGAUGCUAGCUGCUGGUUUAAGUCUCAACCUUCGAGAGUUGUUCAUCAGCACAUCCUGA
rnacentral:rRNA from 1 species